rnacentral:rRNA from 1 species
UACGGAGGGUGCAAGCGUUGUCCGGAAUCACUGGGCGUAAAGGGCGCGUAGGCGGCUCGGGAAGUAGGGGGUGAAAUCCUGCGGCUUAACCGCAGGGCUGCCUUCUAAACUGUCGAGCUCGAGCACGGUAGAGGCAGAUGGAAUUCCCGGUGUAGCGGUGGAAUGCGUAGAGAUCGGGAAGAACAUCAGUGGCGAAGGCGGUCUGCUGGGCCGUUGCUGACGCUGAGGCGCGACAGCGUGGGGAGCAAACAGG